UUCGAUCCCGGCUCAGAUUGAACGCUGGCGUGAUGCUUUGCACAUGCAAGUCGUAACUGGCAGCACGGACUUCGGUCUGGUGGCGAGUGGCGAACGGGUGAGUAAUGCAUCGGAACGUGCCUAGUAGCGGGGGAUAACUACGCGAAAGCGGUAGCCAAUACCGCAUACGCCCCUUCGGGGGAAAGCGGGGGACCUUCGCCUCGCACUAUUAGAGCGGCCGAUAUCGGAUUAGCUAGUCAGGUAACGGAUUUGCCCAAGGCGACGAUCCGUAGCUGGUUUUUGAGGACGACCAGCCACACUGGGACUGAGACACGGCCCAGACUCCCUACGGAGGCAGCAGGGGAAUUUUGGACAAUGGGAAACCCUGAUCCAGCCAUCCUGCGUGUGCGAUGAAGGCUUCCCGGGUUGUAAAAGCACUUUUUGGCAGGAAAGAAACGGCACGGGAUAAUACCCCGUGCAACUGACGGUACCUGCAGAAUAAGCACCGGCUAACCAGAUGUGCCAGCAGCCGCGGUAAUAUUGUGGUGCAAGCGUUAAUCGGAAUUACUGGGCGUAAAAGCGCGCAGGCGGUUCGGAAACAGCAUGUGAAAUCCUGCAUUUAACUUUGGAACUGCAUUUUUAAUCACUGAGCUAGAGUGUGUCAGAGGGAGGUGGAAUUCCCGCGUGUAGCAGUGAAAUGCGUAGACAUGCGGAGGAACACCGAUGGCGAAGGCAGCCCCUGGGAUAACACUGACGCUCAUGCACGAAAGCGUGGGGAGCAAACAGGAUUAGAUACCCUGGUAGUCCACGCCCUAAACGAUGUCAACUAGCUACAAGUUGGGGUUUUCCGCCUUGUAGCGCAGCUAACGCGGUGAAGUUGACCGCCUGGGGAGUACGGCUGCAAGAUUAAAACUCAAAGGAAUUGACGGGAUUCAUGCACAAGCGGUGGAUGUGAUGUGGAUUGAAUUGAUGCAACGCGAAAAACCUUACCUAAUUCUUGACAUGUCUUUGGAAUCCCGAAGAGAUUUGGAGAUGCUCGCAAGAGAACCGGAACACAGGUGUCGCACGGUUGUCGUCAGCUCGUGUCAGAGAUGUUGCCAAGUCCGCAACGAGCGCAACCCUUGUCAUUAUUGCUGCUGAAAGGGCACUUAAUGAGACUGCCGGUGACAAAACCGGAGGAAGGUGGGGAUGACGUCAAGUCCUCAUGGCUCCUUAUGUGUAGGGCUUCACACGUCAUACAAUGGUCGGGACAGAGGGUCGCCAACUCCGCGAGGGGGAGCCAAUCCCAGAAACCUGAUCGUAGUCUGGAUCGCAGUCUGCAACUCGACUGCGUGAAGUCGGAAUCGCUAGUAAUCGCGGAUCAGCAUGUCGCGGUGAAUACGUUCCCGGGUCUUGUACACACCGGCCCGUCACACCAUGGGAGUGCGGGCUUUACCAGAAGUAGCUAGCCUGGGUUCGUGCGAGGGCGAUUACCACGGUAGGAUUCAUGACUGUGUGAAGUCGUAACAAGGCAG
rnacentral:rRNA from 1 species